CUAUUUCAGACAAUUUGCUUUAGUUUAAGCCCCUUUAACUAUUCGCGCAAACUUACAUUUUUUCCUAAAAAUUAGAUAUUUGCAUGCUAAUUAAUGUCUUUGCCUAAUUUGUAUAUGUCAGCAAUAUGCAAAUUAAGUAAAGCCAUUAAUUAAGCAUGCGAAAGGCUGAUUUUUUAGGGAAAAAUGAAUAGUUAAAGGCUUCAACUAAAGCAAACUGUCUGACAUUUUGUAUAGUAAUUAAAAACCCAACAAAGUUUCCAUCUAUUAACUCAAAAUAUGAUUAAAGCUUUUAAAUUUCGU